CACAGAGACCCAGAGGCACAGAAGCACAGAAGCACAGAGGACAGCGGCUGGGAUUCGCUUUUCAAUGAAGUGCACUAGAAUGGAAGCCUUCAAGCCCAAGCAGAAUGAAUGAGGAGGAGGGCCUAGGAAUUAGUCCUGCUGCCCCGGCAUCUUGUGGACCGGGUAGUACAUUGUGUUCUGCUAUGGUAAAAGAUCUGGCGGUGGCAGUGUUCGAGAGGGAGACUUUGGCCACUCAUGGGCUGUCUGGAAGGGCUGGCAAGGCUAAUAAAGGCACUACGGCAAAGCCAGCUCUUCACCAAGACAAAGUAUUGUCGAUCUUGAGAAACAAACACUCGUCAUGUCCUGAAGAAUUUCCGAUCUAUCUUGCACAAUCGUCCUGCAGGGAGUGUGUGUUUUUAAAUAGAGCUGCAGGACAGAAUUCCUGGAGGAUAUAAUUCCAUAUAAUUAUUUCCUUCAUAGAGUUCCUGCAGGUAUUUCUACAGGAAAAUGAGCUGAAAAACCUAUAGGAUAACUGCCCAAUAUUACUGCAGGAUUCCUGUAGGGUUUUUUUUUUUUUUUUU